UGGUGGAGUGAUUUGUCUGGUUAAUUCCGAUAACGAACGAGACCUCAGCUUGCUAAUUAGUUGUGAGUAGAUCAUUCGAUCUACUUUUGACAACUUCUUAGAGGGACUAUCGGUGAUUAGCCGAUGGAAGUUUGAGGCAAUAACA
rnacentral:rRNA from 1 species